rnacentral:lncRNA from 1 species
AAAAGUUCUACCACACGAUAUAGAGUGUUUUCUAUCGAGCCACCGCCCAAUGUUGCUUUGUUUUUUUUUUUGAUGGGGGGUGGGUAACUGAAAUAAACGUGUAUUUAAUAUCAUUGAUUUAAUGAUUCUUAGUUCUAUUUUAUUUUGCUAUCAUACGUUUAUUACAUAGUCGUUUGAAGUUUUGAAAAAUAAGCAUUCUGAAACUCUAAAUUAUAGAGUACGUAGUGAUUUGUUGAAGAAUUAUUUUCUGGAUACGAUUUACCUAUAUUUUAACCAAUCGCUUAUGCAUUAAUAAUUG